CCCUGGCUCAGGACGAACGCGGGCGGCGUGCCUAAUACAUGCAAGUCGAGCGAAUCUUUAGGAGCUUGCUCCUGAAGGUAAGCGGCGGACGGGUGAGUAACACGUGGGCAACCUGCCUGUAAGACUGGGAUAACUUCGGGAAACCGGAGCUAAUACCGGAUAAUCCUUUUCCUCUCAUGAGGAAAAGCUGAAAGUCGGUUUACGCUGACACUUACAGAUGGGCCCGCGGCGCAUUAGCUAGUUGGUGAGGUAACGGCUCACCAAGGCGACGAUGCGUAGCCGACCUGAGAGGGUGAUCGGCCACACUGGGACUGAGACACGGCCCAGACUCCUACGGGAGGCAGCAGUAGGGAAUCUUCCGCAAUGGACGAAAGUCUGACGGAGCAACGCCGCGUGAGCGAUGAAGGCCUUCGGGUCGUAAAGCUCUGUUGUUAGGGAAGAACAAGUACCGGAGUAACUGCCGGUACCUUGACGGUACCUAACCAGAAAGCCACGGCUAACU
rnacentral:rRNA from 1 species